UAAAGUUUCUAAUGAUAUAUAUUUUGUUAUAUAUGCCUCUUAUUAAGUUGGGCAAAUUGAUGACCUAGGUAUAUGUGCCGGACUUGUAAAGUCUGUAGUGUGAAAUAUCUUGUGACUGGUAUAUGAUAUGAAUGUUCACAUCAACUGCCCCUCCAGGACAAUCAGUUUAUAUAUCGCCGCCAACUGGGUUCAUUCUAAUCAUUCUUCAUGCAUCAUUAAGCACCUUUUGUCUCCCACAUGAAUCCUUAGCACAAACAACGUGAUAACAUAAGUUUACUGCCAAUUGAGUGUGUUCUGUUCAUGUUUCAGAGCCAGCGAGGUUUACCAUCGUUCUCUUAUAUACAUGUGGCUGAGAAAACAAACACGUAUAAAUAAAAAGGACUAUGCUAGCUUGAGAAUUGGAAACAUCAGGAAGAGAACCCUCCGUAAUAUCCGAAGAACAUGUAGUACUGGGAACGGCAUGCCUCCAGGCCCGAGCUUUGCUACAUCUACGUAAAACUCUUACGAAACCUUACGUAACUGCUCACGUGGUCUAAUUUGGUUGGAAGGAAGUAAGGCUCAGGCCCAUCCCGACAGAAUAGGGGGGUGAUUAGGUUAGGGAAGGAAAGAAACGUAACAUUACGUAGUCUAUUUACGUAGGUAGGUGUAGCAUUUUUUUCUCCAGGCCCAUACCGGUAUCCACACCGUGCCCCCAAAUCGCACAAGUGUGUACAGUCUUAAGGACGACCCUUUAUUGCUGAGGACUUUAGUUGGAGAGAAAAGUCAGGUCUGAUGCC
rnacentral:lncRNA from 1 species